UUAUCAUCUUUCGUAAUUUAAGUUAUAAAAUCUAAAUUUUAAGUGAUCUAAAAUGUUCAUGACUAACGAGUAUUUUCACUUGUACGAUUUUUCUGUGAAAUGAGUCUAAGAGUAUAUACAUGUAUAUCAGGAUACUGACUGCAUAGUAAAAUAUUUAUGUACCAUUAGUUGCGACUCAUUUUGGUCUUUUAAGUAAGUUUCCUUCCCCUGCAUUACUUGAUCGCUUUUGUAAAAAAUAAACAGCACAACAACAACAGCACUCGACGUCAGUAUUGUACCAAAAAAUGAUAAAAAAUAUUCAAAAAGAAGGCUCAUAAAAUUCAAAUAUUGGACAAGAACUAUAGAAGAUGCAGAGAAAUUAUAAACAGCAGAAAUGAUAGGCAAUUUAAAAUUUGCAGAAGUCAACAAAACCUAAAUGGUGAUCAGACAUCUUGGUUUUCAUGAUCAAUAGGUCAAUACUGAAGAGGAAACUGAAAGUUGAUAUCUAUCUACAUGGUGCGCUAAUUGGAUUAAUGUGAAAUGGAAUGUGUGCUUUCCUGCAAAAAAGAAAUAGGAAAUUUCAUCAUAAUCACAUGAUAAUGGCUAUAAACAAAAUGGAGUUCUAUCAUAGAUGCAGAAAAACACAAUUGUAUAAAUGCAACAACAUAUUAUAUAUAUUCGUCGAAAGAAGGGAGAAAUGAAGAAAAAAAUAGUAUUUUGUUGUUGAAAGGAACACCAGCUUUAUCCACUCAUUUACAUCGCUCCCUCAUAUCAAAUAUACUGAAGAAGAUCUUCGAAGAACAAAUUGCAAAAAUGUUUUCUCUAAGAAUUGAAGGAAAUUGUUUAGUGAAUGGAAUAAUUUAUGUUAUGAACUUUUACGUAGUGAAUUGAAUAACUGUACACAGCAGCUGAAACAGAGGAAAAUUAAAAUUUACAAGAAAAGUGUUUAUUUUAUUAUUUAAUUUGCAAAUAUGAACGCAUUCUUAAGAACUCCACAAAUGGUAUGACAUUCAAAUUGGUUGCUUAUUAAUAAAAUUGAGAAUGGAAAUGGGGAAUGUGUCAAAGAGACAACAACCCGACCAUAAAACAGACAACAACAGAAGGUCACCAACAGGUCUACAAUUGAAACAAUAACAAAGAAAACAGAAUACUUUGCUACAAAAAAUAUUUUAAAAAUCAAAGUUAAAGUCAUAUAAAGUAUGUACAAUACCUUGACCUAAACAGUCAGACUCACUAUAUUGUUUUUGUAUGUCAUGAUAAUUUUGAGUCAAAAAUUUAUUAAAGUUUAAAUAUCA